GGGUAGGUAGCGAAGUGGUUAAACGCAACAGACUGUAAAUCUGUCGCCUACGGGCUUCGGAGGUUCGAAUCCUUCCCUACCCACAA
rnacentral:tRNA from 1 species